rnacentral:rRNA from 1 species
UACAGAGGGGGCAAGCGUUGUUCGGAAUUACUGGGCGUAAAGGGCGCGUAGGCGGCCUGUUAAGUCAGACGUGAAAUCCCUCGGCUCAACCGGGGAACUGCGUCUGAUACUGGCGGGCUUGAAUUCGGGAGAGGGAUGUGGAAUUCCUGGUGUAGCGGUGAAAUGCGUAGAGAUCAGGAGGAACACCCGUGGCGAAGGCGGCCCUCUGGCUCGACCCUGACGCUGAGAGGCGAAAGCGUGGGGAGCGAACGGG